rnacentral:rRNA from 1 species
UACGUAGGAGGCAAGCGUUAUUCGGAUUCACUGGGCGUAAAGGGUGCGCAGGCGGUUCGUUGUGUCGGCGGUGAAAGCCCCGGGCUUAACCUGGGAAUGGCCGUUGAAACUGGCGAACUGGAGUGUGGCAGAGGGGGGUGGAAUUCCGCGUGUAGCAGUGAAAUGCGUAGAGAUCGGGAGGAACACCAGAGGCGAAGGCGGCGACCUGGACAGGUACUGACACUCAACUACGAAAGCGUGGGGAGCAAACAGG